rnacentral:rRNA from 1 species
GACGAGCGCUGGCGGCGUGCUUAACACAUGCUAGUCGAACGAUGAAGCCUAGCUUGCUAGGUGGAUUAGUGGCGAACGGGUGAGUAAUACGUGAGUAACCUACCUUUAACUCUGGGAUAAGCCCGGGAAACUGGGUCUAAUACCGGAUACGACCAAUCUCCGCAUGGGGUGUUGGUGGAAAGCGUUAUGUAGUGGUUAUAGAUGGGCUCACGGCCUAUCAGCUUGUUGGUGAGGUAACGGCUCACCAAGGCGACGACGGGUAGCCGGCCUGAGAGGGUGACCGGCCACACUGGGACUGAGACACGGCCCAGACUCCUACGGGAGGCAGCAGUGGGGAAUAUUGCACAAUGGGCGCAAGCCUGAUGCAGCGACGCCGCGUGAGGGAUGACGGCCUUCGGGUUGUAAACCUCUGUUAGCAGGGAAGAAGAGAGAUUGACGGUACCUGCAGAGAAAGCGCCGGCUAACUACGUGCCAGCAGCCGCGGUAAUACGUAGGGCGCGAGCGUUGUCCGGAAUUAUUGGGCGUAAAGAGCUUGUAGGCGAUUUGUCGCGUCUGCUGUGAAGGCCGGAGCUUAACUCCGUGUAUUGCAGUGGGUACGGGCAGACUAGAGUGCAGUAGGGGAGACUGGAAUUCCUGGUGUAGCGGUGGAAUGCGCAGAUAUCAGGAGGAACACCGAUGGCGAAGGCAGGUCUCUGGGCUGUAACUGACGCUGAGAAGCGAAAGCAUGGGGAGCGAACAGGAUUAGAUACCCUGGUAGUCCAUGCCGUAAACGUUGGGCACUAGGUGUGGGGAACAUUCCACGUUUUCCGCGCCGUAGCUAACGCAUUAAGUGCCCCGCCUGGGGAGUACGGCCGCAAGGCUAAAACUCAAAGAAAUUGACGGGGGCCCGCACAAGCGGCGGAGCAUGCGGAUUAAUUCGAUGCAACGCGAAGAACCUUACCAAGGCUUGACAUAUACUGGACCGCAUCAGAGAUGGUGUUUCCCUUCGGGGCUGGUAUACAGGUGGUGCAUGGUUGUCGUCAGCUCGUGUCGUGAGAUGUUGGGUUAAGUCCCGCAACGAGCGCAACCCUCGUUCUAUGUUGCCAGCACGUUAUGGUGGGGACUCAUAGGAGACUGCCGGGGUCAACUCGGAGGAAGGUGGGGAUGACGUCAAAUCAUCAUGCCCCUUAUGUCUUGGGCUUCACGCAUGCUACAAUGGCCGGUACAGAGGGUUGCGAUACUGUGAGGUGGAGCUAAUCCCUAAAAGCCGGUCUCAGUUCGGAUUGGGGUCUGCAACUCGACCCCAUGAAGUCGGAGUCGCUAGUAAUCGCAGAUCAGCAACGCUGCGGUGAAUACGUUCCCGGGCCU